rnacentral:rRNA from 1 species
CUCAUUAAAUCAGUUAUAGUUUAUUUGAUGGUCUCUUUGUCUUUUUUUACCUACUUGGAUAACCGUGGUAAUUCUAGAGCUAAUACAUGCGCAAGGUCCCAAGCGCGGAGGGUAGGGCUUCACGGUUCUAUUCUUGCAUGCGCAGAGGGAUGUAUUUAUUAGGUUAAACAACCAGCAUUUUAACAAUCAUCUGGUGAUUCAUAGUAACUCUUUCGGAUCGCAUUCAUG